rnacentral:rRNA from 1 species
GACAGAGGAUGCAAGCGUUAUCCGGAAUGAUUGGGCGUAAAGCGUCUGUAGGUGGCUUUUUAAGUCCGCCGUCAAAUCCCAGGGCUCAACCCUGGACAGGCGGUGGAAACUACCAAGCUGGAGGACGGUAGAGGCUGGUGGAAUUCCCGGUGUAGUGGUGAAAUGCGUAGAGAUCGGGAGGAACACCUGUGGCGAAGGCGGCCAGCUGGGCCGGACCUGACGCUGAGACGCGAAGGCGUGGGGAGC